rnacentral:rRNA from 1 species
UUAAGCGACUAAGCGUACACGGUGGAUGCCCUGGCAGUCAGAGGCGAUGAAGGACGUGCUAAUCUGCGAUAAGCGUCGGUAAGGUGAUAUGAACCGUUAUAACCGGCGAUUUCCGAAUGGGGAAACCCAGUGUGAUUCGUCACACUAUCAUUAACUGAAUCCAUAGGUUAAUGAGGCGAACCGGGGGAACUGAAACAUCUAAGUACCCCGAGGAAAAGAAAUCAACCGAGAUUCCCCCAGUAGCGGCGAGCGAACGGGGAGGAGCCCAGAGCCUGAAUCAGUGUGUGUGUUAGUGGAAGCGUCUGGAAAGGCGCGCGAUACAGGGUGACAGCCCCGUACACAAAAAUGCACAUGCUGUGAGCUCGAUGAGUAGGGCGGGACACGUGGUAUCCUGUCUGAAUAUGGGGGGACCAUCCUCCAAGGCUAAAUACUCCUGACUGACCGAUAGUGAACCAGUACCGUGAGGGAAAGGCGAAAAGAACCCCGGCGAGGGGAGUGAAAAAGAACCUGAAACCGUGUACGUACAAGCAGUGGGAGCACAGAGCAAUCUGUGUGACUGCGUACCUUUUGUAUAAUGGGUCAGCGACUUAUAUUCUGUAGCAAGGUUAACCGAAUAGGGGAGCCGAAGGGAAACCGAGUCUUAACCGGGCGUUAAGUUGCAGGGUAUAGACCCGAAACCCGGUGAUCUAGCCAUGGGCAGGUUGAAGGUUGGGUAACACUAACUGGAGGACCGAACCGACUAAUGUUGAAAAAUUAGCGGAUGACUUGUGGCUGGGGGUGAAAGGCCAAUCAAACCGGGAGAUAGCUGGUUCUCCCCGAAAGCUAUUUAGGUAGCGCCUCAUGAAUUCAUCUCCGGGGGUAGAGCACUGUUUCGGCAAGGGGGUCAUCCCGACUUACCAACCCGAUGCAAACUGCGAACACCGGAGAAUGUUAUCACGGGAGACACACGGCGGGUGCUAACGUCCGUCGUGAAGAGGGAAACAACCCAGACCGCCAGCUAAGGUCCCAAAGUCAUGGUUAAGUGGGAAACGAUGUGGGAAGGCCCAGACAGCCAGGAUGUUGGCUUAGAAGCAGCCAUCAUUUAAAGAAAGCGUAAUAGCUCACUGGUCGAGUCGGCCUGCGCGGAAGAUGUAACGGGGCUAAACCAUGCACCGAAGCUGCGGCAGCGACACUGUGUGUUGUUGGGUAGGGGAGCGUUCUGUAAGCCUGUGAAGGUGUGCUGUGAGGCAUGCUGGAGGUAUCAGAAGUGCGAAUGCUGACACAAGUAACGAUAAAGCGGGUGAAAAGCCCGCUCGCCGGAAGACCAAGGGUUCCUGUCCAACGUUAAUCGGGGCAGGGUGAGUCGACCCCUAAGGCGAGGCCGAAAGGCGUAGUCGAUGGGAAACAGGUUAAUAUUCCUGUACUUGGUGUUACUGCGAAGGGGGGACGGAGAAGGCUAUGUUGGCCGGGCGACGGUUGUCCCGGUUUAAGCGUGUAGGCUGGUUUUCCAGGCAAAUCCGGAAAAUCAAGGCUGAGGCGUGAUGACGAGGCACUACGGUGCUGAAGCAACAAAUGCCCUGCUUCCAGGAAAAGCCUCUAAGCAUCAGGUAACAUCAAAUCGUACCCCAAACCGACACAGGUGGUCAGGUAGAGAAUACCAAGGCGCUUGAGAGAACUCGGGUGAAGGAACUAGGCAAAAUGGUGCCGUAACUUCGGGAGAAGGCACGCUGAUAUGUAGGUGAAGUCCCUCGCGGAUGGAGCUGAAAUCAGUCGAAGAUACCAGCUGGCUGCAACUGUUUAUUAAAAACACAGCACUGUGCAAACACGAAAGUGGACGUAUACGGUGUGACGCCUGCCCGGUGCCGGAAGGUUAAUUGAUGGGGUCAGCGCAAGCGAAGCUCUUGAUCGAAGCCCCGGUAAACGGCGGCCGUAACUAUAACGGUCCUAAGGUAGCGAAAUUCCUUGUCGGGUAAGUUCCGACCUGCACGAAUGGCGUAAUGAUGGCCAGGCUGUCUCCACCCGAGACUCAGUGAAAUUGAACUCGCUGUGAAGAUGCAGUGUACCCGCGGCAAGACGGAAAGACCCCGUGAACCUUUACUAUAGCUUGACACUGAACAUUGAGCCUUGAUGUGUAGGAUAGGUGGGAGGCUUUGAAGUGUGGACGCCAGUCUGCAUGGAGCCGACCUUGAAAUACCACCCUUUAAUGUUUGAUGUUCUAACGUGGACCCGUGAUCCGGGUUGCGGACAGUGUCUGGUGGGUAGUUUGACUGGGGCGGUCUCCUCCUAAAGAGUAACGGAGGAGCACGAAGGUUGGCUAAUCCUGGUCGGACAUCAGGAGGUUAGUGCAAUGGCAUAAGCCAGCUUGACUGCGAGCGUGACGGCGCGAGCAGGUGCGAAAGCAGGUCAUAGUGAUCCGGUGGUUCUGAAUGGAAGGGCCAUCGCUCAACGGAUAAAAGGUACUCCGGGGAUAACAGGCUGAUACCGCCCAAGAGUUCAUAUCGACGGCGGUGUUUGGCACCUCGAUGUCGGCUCAUCACAUCCUGGGGCUGAAGUAGGUCCCAAGGGUAUGGCUGUUCGCCAUUUAAAGUGGUACGCGAGCUGGGUUUAGAACGUCGUGAGACAGUUCGGUCCCUAUCUGCCGUGGGCGCUGGAGAACUGAGGGGGGCUGCUCCUAGUACGAGAGGACCGGAGUGGACGCAUCACUGGUGUUCGGGUUGUCAUGCCAAUGGCACUGCCCGGUAGCUAAAUGCGGAAGAGAUAAGUGCUGAAAGCAUCUAAGCACGAAACUUGCCCCGAGAUGAGUUCUCCCUGACCCUUUAAGGGUCCUGAAGGAACGUUGAAGACGACGACGUUGAUAGGCCGGGUGUGUAAGCGCAGCGAUGCGUUGAGCUAACCGGUACUAAUGAACCGUGAGGCUUAACCUU